ensembl:snRNA U4 U4 spliceosomal RNA
AGCUUUGCACAGUGGCAGUAUCGUAGCCAGUGAAGUCUAUCCGAGCCAAGAUUAUUGCUAAUUGAAAGAUUGCAAAUCCACAUUGAAAUAAUGCAUUAGCAACAGAGGAGUCACAAUCAAAGGACAACACCACGAUACCCUCAUUCUUCUAUAUUUAGUAGGACAAUCGUAAGCACACAUCUUGGGGCAUUUAAGGGCUCUCCAGUGUAGCUUCGAAUAACCCCACAAGAGGUUUUUUUCUUGCAGGGUGAUUUUUGAAGAAAUGUUGAGCAACU